rnacentral:rRNA from 1 species
AUUGAACGCUGGCGGCAUGCCUUACACAUGCAAGUCGAACGGUAACAGGUCUUCGGAUGCUGACGAGUGGCGAACGGGUGAGUAAUGCAUCGGAACGUGCCCAGUAGUGGGGGAUAGCCCGGCGAAAGCCGGAUUAAUACCGCAUACGACCUGAGGGUGAAAGGGGGGGAUCGCAAGACCUCUCGCUAUUGGAGCGGCCGAUGUCAGAUUAGCUAGUUGGUGGGGUAAAGGCCUACCAAGGCAACGAUCUGUAGUUGGUCUGAGAGGACGACCUGCCACACUGGGAAUGAGACACGGCCCAGACUCCUACGGGAGGCAGCAGUGGGGAAUUUUGGACAAUGGGCGCAAGCCUGAUCCAGCAAUGCCGCGUGCAGGAAGAAGGCCUUCGGGUUGUAAACUGCUUUUGUCAGGGAAGAAAUCUUCUGGGUUAAUACCUCGGGAGGAUGACGGUACCUGAAGAAUAAGCACCGGCUAACUACGUGCCAGCAGCCGCGGUAAGAC